CUUUAAUUUCUUUUUCACCAUUAACACCAUUAACAUCAUUAUUUCACUAUUAACAUCAAUAGCUUAAUUCGAAUUUAACAAGAAACUGAAAGAAAAUUCACCCACAUAGAUGAGAUAUGCAAUCGUAUAAGAUAGAAAAUUCACCAGAUUUCAAUUUUUUCGAUGAGAGUGGAACGUUUUUAAUCAUAAAUUUUUUCAAUGAGAGUGAGACACCCACAGUAGUCACAGAAAUUUACCAACAAAAUUCCACCAUUGAAAACUGAACGAGAUCAACUCAAGUUAAACCGAAACCCAACAAGUAUCACUCAAAAGAAGAGCAAAAAUCAAAUCUUUAAACAAUAAACAUUGAGCUAAACAAAUCUGUCCGUACAAAAAUUGAGCACACGCAAAUCAGAUAAAAUCGCAAGAGAUCUGCUCAACCAUAAUAAAACAAAAACAAAAAGAAGAACAAGUUCGUAAUCAAAUCAAAUAAAAGUAGUGUAAGAUUACAAAAUCAAGAAUUCCGAAACGAAGAACACGGAGCUAGAUAAAUCAACCAGUCUGGUGCUCUAAUCGGGAAUUAGUCAGGUGCAUAAGCUAGCUCGAAUGGUAGUGAGAGGAUGAGCUACCAUGACUGAAAAAUUUGAUAAAGAAAGAAGGGGGUGGGGGGUUACAAAGAAGAUGAUAAUGAGGGUGGGGUUACGGCUGGGAAAGAAGGGAAGGGUGG
rnacentral:lncRNA from 1 species